rnacentral:rRNA from 1 species
UGGGGAAUCUUGGACAAUGGGGGCAACCCUGAUCCAGCCAUGCCGCGUGAGUGAUGAAGGCCUUAGGGUCGUAAAGCUCUUUCGCCUGUGAAGAUAAUGACGGUAGCAGGUAAAGAAACCCCGGCUAACUCCGUGCCAGCAGCCGCGGUAAUACGGAGGGGGUUAGCGUUGUUCGGAAUUACUGGGCGUAAAGCGCGCGUAGGCGGUUGCUUAAGUCGGAUGUGAAAGCCCCGGGCUCAACCUGGGAACUGCAUUCGAUACUGGGCGACUAGAGUUCGAGAGAGGUGAGUGGAAUUCCAAGUGUAGAGGUGAAAUUCGUAGAUAUUUGGAGGAACACCAGUGGCGAAGGCGGCUCACUGGCUCGAUACUGACGCUGAGGUGCGAAAGUGUGGGGAGCAAACAGGAUUAGAUACCCUGGUAGUCCACACCGUAAACGAUGAAUGCCAGUCGUCGGGUAGCAUGCUAUUCGGUGACACACCUAACGGAUUAAGCAUUCCGCCUGGGGAGUACGGUCGC